UGGGAUGUGGCUCAGUGGCCGAGCCUUUACCUCACACAUACCAGGCCCUGGGUUCGAUCCUCAGCACCACAU
rnacentral:tRNA from 1 species